CUGCGUGACACGGGGUGCCACUGGCUGAGAACACACCCGUUGAACCUGUCCAGAUAAUUCUGACGAAGGGAUGUCGCAUGAUUACGCA
rnacentral:ncRNA from 2 species